CGUAGCCGGCUGCUCAAGUUUUCGGUUAAAUCUAUGCGCUCAACGUAUAGGCCGCCGAAAAUACUGGGCAGCUAGGGAGUGGGAGAGGUACACGGUACUCAAUAGGAAGGGAUAAAAUCCUUUGAUCUAUUGAUGACCACCUGUGGCGAAGGCGGUGUACCAGAACACGUUCGACGGUGAGGGAUGAAAGCUGGGGGAGCAAACCGGAUUAGAUACCCGGGUAGUCCCAGCUGUAAACGAUGCAGACUCGGUGAUGCAUUGGCUUGUGGCCAAUGCAGUGCCGCAGGGAAGCCGUUAAGUCUGCCGCCUGGGAAGUACGUACGCAAGUAUGAAACUUAAAGGAAUUGGCGGGGGAGCACCACAAGGGGUGAAGCCUGCGGUUCAAUUGGAGUCAACGCCAGAAAUCUUACCUGGGGCGACAGCAGAAUGAAGGUCAAGCUGAAGACUUUACCAGACAAGCUGAGAGGUGGUGCAUGGCCGUCGCCAGCUCGUGCCGUGAGAUGUCCUGUUAAGUCAGGUAACGAGCGAGACCCCUGCGUCUAGUUGCUACCAUUACUCUCUGGAGUAGUGGAGCGAAUUAGACGGACCGCCACAGUUAAUGUGGAGGAAGGAAGGGGCCACGGCAGGUCAGUAUGCCCCGAAACCCUAGGGCUACACGCGGGCUGCAAUGGUAUUGACAAUGUGUUCCGAAUCCGAAAGGAGGAGGCAAUCAUCAAACGAUACCUCAGUUAUGACUGAGGGCUGUAACUCGCCCUCACGAAUAUGGAAUCCCUAGUAACUGCGCGUCACUACCGCGCGGUGAAUACGUCCCUGCUCCUUGCACACACCGCCCGUCGUUUCAUCGAAGUUGGCCUUUAGUGAGGUAGUGUCUUGUUGGCAUUAUCGAGCUUGAGGUCAGUGACGAGGGAAAAGUCGUAACAAGGUA
rnacentral:rRNA from 1 species